GAAUCAACGCNGGCGGCGUGCCUAACACAUGCAAGUCGAACGAGAAAGUCCCCGCAAGGGGAUGAGUAAAGUGGCGAACGGGUGAGUAACACGUAGCUAACCUGCCUUCGAGUGGGGGAUAACCUGGGGAAACCCGGGCUAAUACCGCAUAACGCCCCGGGAGCACAUGCUUCUGGGGUCAAAGGCCCGCAAGGGUCGCUGGAGGAGGGGGCUGCGGCCGAUUAGCUAGUUGGUGAGGUAAUGGCCCACCAAGGCGAUGAUCGGUAGCCGGCCUGAGAGGGCGCACGGUCACACUGGCACUGAAACACGGGCCAGACUCCUACGGGAGGCAGCAGUGGGGAAUUUUGCACAAUGCCCGAAAGGGUGAUGCAGCAACGCCGCGUGAGGGAUGAAGGCCUUCGGGUCGUAAACCUCUUUCGACUGGGAAAAACGGGCGGGUGAAUAAUCCGUCCUGAUGGUACCGGUGGAAGAAGCCCCGGCUAACUACGUGCCAGCAGCCGCGGUAAUACGUAGGGGGCGAGCGUUGUUCGGAAUUAUUGGGCGUAAAGGGCGUGUAGGCGGUGCGGUAAGUCGGGCGUUAAAUCUCCAGGCUUAACUUGGAGGGGCCGUCCGAAACUGCCGUGCUAGGGUGCGGGAGAGGGCAGUGGAAUUCCCGGUGUAGCGGUGAAAUGCGUAGAUAUCGGGAGGAACAUCUGUGGCGAAGGCGGCUGCCUGGACCGCAACCGACGCUGAGGCGCGAAAGCUAGGGGAGCAAACAGGAUUAGAUACCCUGGUAGUCCUAGCCCUAAACGAUGAGCACUGGGUGUGGCCCUGCACGGGGCUGUGCCGAAGCUAACGCAUUAAGUGCUCCGCCUGGGGAGUACGGUCG
rnacentral:rRNA from 1 species